GAUACUAUUCUCUCUCUCCCUCCCUCUGUCCCUCUCUCUCUCUAAGAGAGAACGACACAGCAAGUGAGGUAAGAUGCAAGCUGUUGCUAAGCCUAGAGGAGCGUAUACGAGUUUCUUUUACUAUUCUCCCAACUUUCCUGUAAGUUUGAAAUGACAAAAAAAUAAAUUAUAGGACAUCAAAAACACUGAAAGAAAUGUAAGGAAGUGUCCGAGGGCUAAUGGCGUGGUGUCCAAAGACGAGCGCAAAGAUGCCACCAGCCGCGCAGGAUACAGCAGAGUGACUGCAGCGGAUGGAAACACACUGGCUCAGAGAAGAUCCCGAGGCCCCCGCACGCCUCCUCUUAGAAAAAGAGGUUCGGCAAAACAUAAUUUGUCGCAGUUUGAAGCACCUAUUAAACUAACACCUCCUUUAUAAAAUUGGUGAUUAAGCCUUUACUCUGUCUCUCUAGGAGGAAAUGUAUUUCAUGGGAGCCAAAUAAAUCCAGGCUGAUAAAUGCAGAAGGGUCAGUAGAGCUAGAAAAAGCCCAUUUCUCAAGCCGUAGCUGCAGCGGGCUGCACGGUGGCCCCGUGACAGCGGGCCCCACUGGCUGCAGGGUCAGCGCUGACAGUGGGCCGGCCAGAGAGACUGUUUCUUCCGCUGUAAUGGAAUAGGGAGUGUGUGACACCACAAUGUGAAUUCUAGCUAAGAACAUCACCAUGAACCCCGCAAACUGCUAGCUGUAACUUCUGUGGCGACAAGAAAUACGCAGGACCUAGAAGGACAAGCCACAAGGGCACAGAAGAAUCCAGAAGGUGAGGCAGUCUGCCGGCGGCUGGCCCAGGCUCCUCACAGCCAGUGACGUAAGAGGACUUCGUGGAAUAAAGGACAGAGAGGGUGAAGGGGCUUCCACAAAGCUGCCCAGUCUCAAGUUUCAGAGCCUGCACUGGCACAGGCCCCUCGCAAGGCCCUGACAUGGCCUUUCCUAGCUCUCUUGAGGGAAAUUUGAGAACAAAACUUUAGUACACAAACACUCUCAAGCUCAGCUGGAAGCCGGCUCCCAUCAGCCACCCUCUGCAAGUCCAGCGGUCCUCAGCCCGGGAGAAAACACCGCUACACACCAUGGGGACCGGCCCAGUGACCUCGAGUUUAAAGGACUCGAAGCAGAGGCUAUUUCAGAAGCAAUAAAGAGAUCUAUUUGCAACUGUAAACCAGCUUAAACUACUAGGGGAGAAAGACUGGCGUG